rnacentral:rRNA from 1 species
UACGGGGGGAGCAAGCGUUGUUCGGAAUUACUGGGCGUAAAGGGCUCGUAGGUGGCCAACUAAGUCAGACGUGAAAUCCCUCGGCUUAACCGGGGAACUGCGUCUGAUACUGGAUGGCUAGAGGUUGGGAGAGGGAUGCGGAAUUCCAGGUGGAGCGGUGAAAUGCGUAGAUAUCACUUGGAACGCCAAUGGUGAAGACAGCUCGCUGGGGGUGUCCUGACGCUGAGGCGCGAAAGCCAGGGGAGCGAACAGG